rnacentral:rRNA from 1 species
UACGUAGGGGGCUAGCGUUGUCCGGAAUCAUUGGGCGUAAAGAGCGUGUAGGCGGCUCGGUAAGUCCGCUGUGAAAGUCGGGGGCUCAACCCUCGAAUGCCGGUGGAUACUGUCGAGCUAGAGUGCGGAAGAGGCGAGUGGAAUUCCCGGUGUAGUGGUGGAAUGCGUAGAUAUCGGGAGGAACAUCAGUGGCGAAAGCGGCACCCUGGCAUUAGCCUGACGCUCAGGUGCGAAAGCGUGGGGAGCGAACGGG